rnacentral:snRNA from 1 species
GGAGUGGGGGUCAAUCUGGUUGUGAUAUCAUGAACUUCAUGGACCAUCAGGCUCAAUCUGGCUGAUCUGGCUGACAACAGAGAUGUUCCCAUUCCUCCCACACUGUUCCACAUGAAUCUCUCCUGAUGCUGUGCACUCGGUGGAAAAGGACUACAUUCCUCAAACAGAGGAGGACCUUCUCAAAAUCAUUAAGGGCCAUGAGUAUUGUGUCAUGGCUUAAUCUCCAAAGAAGCUCUCAAGGAAUACAUCUGUAAGAUACCUAGUAUACUGUAGUCAGGAACAGUAUUGAUAGCUCCUAUUUUA